rnacentral:rRNA from 1 species
GAGAUGUUGUGUUAAGUCCCGCAACGAGCGCAACCCUUGAUCUUAGUUGCCAGCAUUCAGUUGGGCACUCUAAGGUGACUGCCGGUGACAAACCGGAGGAAGGUGGGGAUGACGUCAAAUCAUCAUGCCCCUUAUGACCUGGGCUACACACGUGCUACAAUGGACAGAACAAAGGGCAGCGAAACCGCGAGGUUAAGCCAAUCCCACAAAUCUGUUCUCAGUUCGGAUCGCAGUCUGCAACUCGACUGCGUGAAGCUGGAAUCGCUAGUAAUCGCGGAUCAGCAUGCCGCGGUGAAUACGUUCCCGGGCCUUGUACACACCGCCCGUCACACCACGAGAGUUUGUAACACCCGAAGUCGGUGAGGUAACCUUUUAGGAGCCAGCCGCCGAAGGUGGGACAGAUGAUUGGGG